rnacentral:rRNA from 1 species
CCUACGGGAUGCAGCAGUGAGGAAUAUUGGUCAAUGGGCGGAAGCCUGAACCAGCCAAGUCGCGUGAGGGAUUAAGGCCCUGCGGGUCGUAAACCUCUUUUGCCGGGGAGCAGAGGUCCGGACGUGUCCGGGCCGGGAGAGCACCCGGAGAAAAAGCAUCGGCUAACUCCGUGCCAGCAGCCGCGGUAAGACGGAGGAUGCGAGCGUUAUCCGGAUUUAUUGGGUGUAAAGGGUGCGUAGGCGGGCAUUUAAGCCGGCGGUCAAAUGUCGGGGCUCAACCCCGGCCUGCCGUCGGAACUGGGUGCCUUGAGUGGGCGAGAAGUAUGCGGAAUGCGUGGUGUAGCGGUGAAAUGCAUAGAUAUCACGCAGAACCCCGAUUGCGAAGGCAGCAUACCGGCGCCCUACUGACGCUGAGGCACGAAAGUGCGGGUAUCGAACAGGAUUAGAUACCCGAGUAGUC